rnacentral:lncRNA from 1 species
GCAUAACCGCAUUGAAAGCAAUGUCGGAAGUGAGGUAAUCUUCACGCAACCCAUGUAAUACAUAAGGGAAAGAGAUACAUAGUUGGCUUACAAUCGCCACUUCACACAAUUACAUGAAUAAAGCAUUACAUCAUCCAGAUACAAUCAAGGUCCGACUACGGAACCAAAACAAAAGAAGACUACCCCAAAUGCUACACAGAUCCCCGAUCGACCCCAACUGGGAUCCACUACUGAUCAACUAGAACGAAGCAACAUAAAGGACAAGAUCAUCAUCGAGCUCCUCCUUGAGCUUGGUUGCAUCACCUGCUCGGUAGCAUCAGCACCUGCAAAUUGGUUUUGGAAGUAUCUGUGAGUCACGGGGACUCAGCAAUCUUACACCCUCGCGAUCAAGACUAUUUAAGCUUAUAGGAAGGAUAAAAGGUAUGAGGUGGAGCUGCAGCAAGCGACUAGCAUAUAUGGUGGCUAAACAUACGCAAAUGAGAGCGAGAAGAGAAGGCAAAGUGCGGUCGAGAAACUAUGAUCAAGAGGUGAUCCUAGAACAACCUACGUCAAGCAUAACUCCAACACCGUGUUCACUUCCCAAACUCCGCCAGAAAGAGACCAUCACGGUUACACACGCGGUUGCUGUAUUUUAAUUAAGGUCAACUUCAGGUUUUUUACAACCGGACAUUAACAAAUUCCCAUCUGCCCAUAACCGCGGGCACGGCUUUCAAAAGUUCAAAUCCCUGCAGGGGUGUCCCAACUUAGCCCAUCACAAGCUCUCACGGUCAACGAAGGAUAUUCCUUCUAGCGGGAAGACCAGAUCAGACUUGGAAUCCCGGUUACAAGACAUUUCGACAAUGGUAAAACAAGUCCAGCAACACCGCCCGAAUGUGCCGACAAAUCCCGAUAGGAGCUGCACAUAUCUCGUUCUCAGGGCACAGUCAGAUGAGACUAGCUACGAGUAAAACCAACCCUCAAGUUUCCCCGAGGUGGCCCCGCAGGCAGCUCAGUUCGGACCAACACUCAAAGGAGCACUGGCCCGGGGGGGUUAAAUAAAGAUGACCCUUGGGCAGGCCUACCCAAGGGAAAGAAAAGGCUAGGUGGAGAAUGGUAAAACCAAUGUUGAGCAUUGCUGGAGGAGUUUUAUUCAAAGCGAAUUAUCAAGGGGUUCCCAUUAUACCCAACCGCGUAAGGAACGCAAAAUCCGGGAACAUAACACUGAUAUGACGGAAACUAGGGCGGCAAGAGUGGAACAAAACACCAGGCAUAAGGCCGAGCCUUCCACCCUUUACCAAGUAUAUAAAUGCAUUAAUUAGAUAAGAGAUAUUGUGAUAUCCCAACAAGUAAACAUGUUCCAACAAGGAACAACAUCUCCAUGUUCCAACGAGGAACAAACUUCAAUCUUCACCUACAACUAACAAUGCUAUAAGAGGGGCUGAGCAAAGGGGUAACAUAGCCAAACAACGGUUUGCUAGGACAAGGUGGGUUAGAGGCUUGGUUCAACAAUAUGGGAGGCAUGAUAAGCAAGUGGUAGGUAUCGCGGCAUAGGCAUAGCAAAAGAGCGAGCAACUAGCAAGCAAAGAUAGAAGUGAUUUCGAGGGUAUGGUCAUCUUGCCAGAAAUCCCGCAAGGACAAAGAACGAGUCCAAGAAGAAGAUAAACAGACGUAGUCGAACGGAUCCUCACACACACGACGUUAUCGGAACCAACCCGAAGAAGCAACACCAGAAAAGAAGCAAACAACAUAGUAAACAACCAUCACAUAAACAUGGCACGUGCGCAAACAAGUAUGAUGCAUGUCCGGUUUAAAUAUGCAUGGCAUGGCAAACUGCACAAGCAAUCCUACAAAUUAAGUGGAGCUCAAUAUGCAACGAGUUGCAUAUUGACGGAACACCACGUGACUUAUUUAGUUCUCUCUCGUUUAUGUACCCAACAAGAUUAAAUGUUGAUUAACAUGGCAAGAGGGUGAAGCAUGAAGAAACUAUCUAAUCUAGGCAAGUUUAAAUGAGGUCGGAACAACAAAACAACAAGUCUGGAAACUCCUCAUAUGCAUAUAUUAGUUUUGGUACUGUUCUGCCCUAAACACAAUUUUAGGGUUGUUAAACAAGCAAAGUGACGCCACCAUGUUAAACUAGGCAUUUUUCUACCCCAUUUACAUAUAAAGAUUAUUUAAAUCCGAGCUACGGUUAUUUAGUUAUGAAUUAAAUCAUUUUAGCAUGCCACAUGAGCAAAUUUAAUCAAACAUCAUUUUAAGCAUUUUAAACAUAGAUGAAAGUGACAUAUUAUGAAACUAGAUGAAAAACUAAGCAUAUUUCAUAUAAAGUUUGUUUUAAUCCGAUGCACGGUUAUUAAGUUAUUAACAAUGCAAAAUAGUGGCAAAUUGAUGUAAUUAUGCAUGCACUGGAUAUUAGGAAAUUCGUCAGCAGGGAAAAAAAUAUAGCUGGGCCGAAUGCAACGCACUAUGCAAGCCCAACAACAGAUCUAGCCCGAAGCAGACAUGGGUGUGCAAAAAUAACAGGAAAGCAAAGCAAAAUGGGGGUUGCUGGGAUUCGAACCCCAGACCCCUUGAAUGGUUAGAGGCUGCGCUAGCCACUGAGCUAGCUCUGUGUUUGUCAUGCAAAGGGAUACGAACAGAAAUUAAAGCAUAUGGGCACCACGGCCAAGACACAACCUGAAGCGGGCGCACGGGGAUUCGCCGGCGACGGGAGCGAACAACAACUGCUGCUGUGGUUGCAGAGGACCUGCGGGGAUGCGGAAACCUGCUAG